rnacentral:lncRNA from 1 species
UGCCUCGUCGAUGGUCGUCGCCGCCGCUGUUCGCUAUUAUACACCGCCGUUGCCGCUUCUUCUUCUUCUUCUCUCUGCUCUGCUCUCUCUCGGUGCUUCACAGUUGGUAUAGAGUCGCUGCGUGCGCUGCUGCUGCUGCUCAACGCGCACAAGAGUUUUUCGAACCGGGGGGAAAAAAAGAGGGAGGGAGGUUUGUGUUACAGAGACCGACCGAUCGGUGAGACGUGUUUUCCCUCUCCAAGUUUUUCUUUCUUUCUUUUCUUUCUUAUUAUUUUUCUUUUUUUCUUUCUUCUUUUUCCCCUUCGUUCGUUUUUUUUUUCUUUUUCUCGUACCGGCGUUCGCGUCUGCCGUCCACUCAACGUGAUUUCCCAUUCCACGUCAAACCACUCGCCGUCCCGCACGCUGACGCAGAGGUUGCUCAUCGCAAGGCGUUCGUUCCUGCUACUUUCAUCUCUCUGCCGACUUCCAUCUUUUUUUGGCGUUCGUCAACUUUUCGCUGCAAAGUAAAAUCGUCGACCAAAGAUGGACUCAACAACACUGCAGCAACAGAGGAGAAGAAGAAGAAACCAAACAGCUACUUGAAUUUGAUGCCGGCUCAUCAUUUGUCAAUGUCGUCGCCGUGGCUGGGCGACAAGGAAAUUCAAACCCCUUCCACGCAGCGUCCCUCACGAUAAUAGAGGUUUCCUAUGGUCGGCCCAUGUUUCCCAUUUUAUGACUGUGUCCUCCUACACAUCGGCUACUUCUACCACGGGUGGACCCGAAAGCAAAGAGACAAAAAAGGGACCCAAAUUGGGGUCUAUAAACACACACACACAUGUCCCCGAAGAAGAAGAAAGGAAAAAUUUGCCAAAAUUGGUGACACACGUGCUGCUGCUGGGCUACAUCUAAUUUUGGCUGCUGCGGGACAUUGGGUUUAGCACACGCCCUUCAUCAACAAUCAAUGUCUCUCCUUCGUCCCAACUGGAAAAAUAACCUGUCCGUCUCCGGAAUCAUUUUGGGCAAACGGGUUUCUCUCUACACAAGUUACCCGGCGCAGGUGUCUAGACUUUCUCUCAACAAUUCCUUCAAUUGCUUCCAUCGACGUCAUUCAGUCUCAACUCUUUUUUUGGGGAGGGUUGUUUACAAACACCCGCCCUUAACGAGGAUGAGGACAAUUUGACCUAGUCGCCUGACUCUCGUGUGAUGGCAAACGCCUUCGAUCCGCGAGUCUGCCAGCACAGACCCAUAAACAUGGAGAACGAAAAAGGAAAAAAAAAAGGAGCUCUGAUUUUGUUUUCAGUUGUGGAUUUUUAGCGCGUCAUGUUAACGGUGGCUGCUGCCUGGACAUUUUGUCGAAAACCGGCUCCUGAAGUUCAAAAGUCUCCUACAGCUAAAGCUACCGUACAACUAAAUAUUCAACCAUUCACCGCCGCUUCAGCUCCCAGAAAAGAAAAAGAAAAAGAAAAACUCGAACGAAAACAAGAUUCCAUUCUCGUUCCGAUUGGAAUAAUCGAUUCGGCAAAGCAGAUAAGACUACAACAAUGUCUUCUCGACAAGCCAUCGGAAUUCAGAGCUUGUCGAACGAAACGCCACGCCACAAAAAAAAGCAUUUCUUUCAUCCAAUCGACGAUUUCCAAUUCCGUAGUCGACUUCGAUAUCGCCCAGCAAACGGGUGGAAAAAAAUGUUUCAAUUUUGAAAGGCUGCUGCUACUGCUACGAUGACCUUAUUCCUUUGUUCUAAAUUUGCGCUCGACUUUUACACACACACAUGUACGUGUUCUGCCCUCGUGUGUAUGUGCUGUCGCAGCUCUUUUUUUUUAUUAUUUUCUCUAUCGGGUUUGCUGGCUGCGUUUGAUGUGGACGAGAUAAAUGGAACGCCCUCUCCAGCACCAUUACCGUUGAUGAAUGGAUUCCCCUACUGCUUGCUACCCCACAAAACCUCCCAGAUAUAGACGCGUGCAUCCGGAAGGAGGAUGCCCAAGACAUGCACCGUUGAAGAGCCAAAAAAGAAAACGCAACAUUUCUAACUCAAUCGAAUUUAAAGUGAAUAAAGAUUUAAAAAAAAGGAAGAAUCCCGGGAAAACGGAAGGUAAAAUAAAUAAAUAAAGGAAAAACCAAAAGGUGUCCGUCUAGACGCGAUGCAUCACGUUUCCGGUCUGAUUUGACGCAACUGGGAUUCGUUCGACCAUAUGAAAAUUUAAAUUGAACGAAAAAUUGUCUGAGCGAAUACUGAUAAGAGAUUUGAGAUCAUCAUCACAGCGUGACAGUUCAUCAUGCUCUACAUCUACCCUGUAGAUCCGAAUUUGUAGUUGCAUCACAAGACAAAUUCGGUUCUAGAGAGGUUCGUGUGGGGCAUAAACAGCUACAUGCUAAAACUACGUUUUUCUCAUCUCGCAAAUGCACCAACCAUCACUUUUAAAACACUUAUGCAAUUAAAUUUAAGAAAAAAUAUUUCGAAUUUUUAAAAGAAUAUUUCAUACAACCGUUUUCCCAUGUUGACAGAUAACGCUAUCCAACAAAUAAACUUGACUUUUGCAAUUUC